UACCUGCGGUUCUGGUACCACGUCUUGACCUGCGUGUCGGUGAGGUUGAGCGAGGCGGCGAGCUCCAUGCGGUCCUGCACGCUCAGAAAGCCCUCGGCUUCCCUUAGGGUUUCAGCCCAAUCGCCCGCGGAGGAGAAAGCCGAGAGAGGAUCCGGUAGGAGCAGCAAGCCCGGCCUCCGGAGUGAGACCCCGCGCUCUGUAGCCGAAGGUGCCAUAUCCACGUGUCCGAGCCUCCGCCCUCCUGAUUGGCUGGGAGGCAUUUUGGGGUGAUGUCACACGCUGACUUCAGGAACCUGAUCUCCUCUCCGUUUGAUUAAAAGAGACACUGAAUUAAUUACAGCCCCGAUCCAACGGUUUACAGGCCAUUUCCACCCUGUUUGCUUUCAUUACGCCACUGAUGAAGCUCUUAAUGGGGUGAUUAGCAACAGGGGGUCGGGCCGGGCGGCUGGGGGCGGGCGUGGGUUUGCUAAGCUGCUGCUUGGCCUUUUUCUUUCUUGCCUUUUAACUUUCUGCUCCUCUCUCCCCCCACGACGGGCGGAAUCAUUCGUUCUUUGGGGGCUGGGAAAGUUUGACCGCGGGUUAAAGGGGGAGGGGGCGAUCCCCUCCCUAAAAAAAAACCCCGAUUGAUUUGAACGCGCUGUUUGAGGCGAGGAUCGCGCUGGAGCGGUGAGAAGGGGGCUCCCCCCCCCGCCCCCGUUUUCCUUUGAAAUUGUUUUAACGAAAGUGGGGGGCGGGUCUUUAUAAAAGGAAACUCGUUUUAAAUCCGAUGCGGGAGGGGGGCUGUUUUAUUGACCUGCCCCCCUUCCCCGCUUUCGCGUUACCCAAUGGUUUGAAAUGGACCCGACUGGCAGGAUCCGGGAGGGCUUUUCAUGCCCGAAACACUGGGGGAAGCGAGAUGGAGCCGAGAGAGAGACUAGGGCCCAAGUCAGGGAGUGGGGCGGGGAGGAUCCCCGUGCGAGGGGCCGGGGCGGCAGUGUUCAGCCUCCGGGAGAGCCGCGCCUGGGAUCGGGCCCCCGUUUCACCUGAAGCCCCAGGAGAUCAGCGCCGGGCCAGGCCCGCCUCGCCUCUCCCCCGCGCAGCCCAGUGCCCCUGCUUGCUGCUUCCCCCUAUAGACAGACGAAGCAGGUUGGGGGGGCGCUUGCCGCCCUAGGGGAGUCAGGGGAGAUCUGGGCGCUGGAGGAUCCCGCUUGGGGAAUCGAGGCCGGGCGGGCCGAGGGACGUCUCCUCUGGAAGCUCAGAGCGAGGACUGAUCUCUCCCUCCGGCCCCGAUCCGGGCCCCAGCGACUCUUCCCCGCCCGCCGUCCGGGCAGCUGGGUCUUGUCUCCCUUCCAAGUCUC